AUACGAAGGGGGCUAGCGUUUUUCGGAAUUACUGGGCGUAAAGCGCGCGUAGGCGGACUGAUCAGUUGGGGGUGAAAUCCCAGGGCUUAACCCUGGAACUGCCUCCAAUGCUGUCAGUCUUGAGUUCGGGAGAGGUGAGUGGAAUUCCUAGUGUAGAGGUGAAAUUCGUAGAUAUUAGGAAGAACACCAGUGGCGAAGGCGGCUCACUGGCCCGAUACUGACGCUGAGGCGCGAAAGCGUGGGGAGCAAACAGGAUUAGAAACCCUAGUAGUCC
rnacentral:rRNA from 1 species